UCGCAUCGCUAUAAGCAACAUUGGCGCACAAAAGUUGGAAAGCGAAGCGUAAUUAUGGCACCAACAAUUAGUAAAGUGUGGAGAUUUUUUUCCAAAUUAAAUGACACGGAUGUGAAUUGCCAAUUGUGCCAAAAACAACUGAAGUAUUGUAAAAACCAAUAUGCUACUCAAACAUACGAUGAGUUUUCAGUUGUCUAUAAUAAUGAAAAUACUUAAAUUUAACAAUAUCAAGCGCAUACGACAAGAAAUGGCGGAGCUUUCAGAUAUAAAUGAAAGUUUAGGAAGCACUAGUGACGGCUCAUCUACUAGCGAAGUUGAGUUCGAUUUAUGGACCCACCACAAGGCACUGGCCCACAAAACCAGUAAGAAAGACGCGUAAUGUCGUCAACGCCUGGGAGGAGAUGCGUACUGUAUACCCUACGCUAUAUGUUAUAGCUUGUCGGCAUUGCUUCUUAAUAUUUCACUUCGGUUCCAGCGGAACGUCUUUUUUCCAAGGCGGGUGACAUAUUAACCGAAAAAUGGAACAGGUUAACAACAGAGCACCUUUCACAACUACUAUUUCUUAACUCAAUUUUAAAUAAAUAAACAUUUAUAUUCGUUA